UACGAAGGGGGCUAGCGUUGCUCGGAAUCACUGGGCGUAAAGGGUGCGUAGGCGGCCCGGUAAGUCCGUUGUGAAAGUCAAAGGCUCAACCUUUGAACGCCGAUGGAUACUGCCGGGCUAGAGUCCGGAAGAGGCGAGUGGAAUCCUGGUGUAGCGGUGGAAUGCGCAGAUAUCAGGAGGAACACCAAUAGCGAAGGCAGCUCGCUGGGCCACACCUGACGCUGGAGACGCGAAAGCUAGGGGAGCGAAACAGG
rnacentral:rRNA from 1 species